rnacentral:snRNA from 1 species
GGGAGCUUUCCCCGGGCGUCG